rnacentral:rRNA from 1 species
CGCAUCUGUGCAUGCAGCAUAUCAAUAAGCGGAGGAAAAGAAACUAACAAGGAUUCCCCUAGUAACGGCGAGUGAAGCGGGAAGAGCUCAAAUUUGAAAUCUUAAAGGGUUUCCCUUUACGAAUUGUAGUUUAAAGAAGUGUUUUCUGUUGAGGUUUUGGUAAAAGUUCUUUGGAAUAGGACAUCAUAGAGGGUGAGAAUCCCGUAUUUGACCUUUACUUUCAACUUUGUGAUACACUUUCAAAGAGUCGGAUUGUUUGGGAAUGCAGUCCAAAAUGGGUGGUAAAUUUCAUCUAAAGCUAAAUAUUGGCGAGAGACCGAUAGCGAACAAGUACCGUGAGGGAAAGAUGAAAAGAACUUUGAAAAGAGAGUUAGACAGUACGUGAAAUUGUCAAAAGGGAAGCGUUUGACACCAGUGUUGUUUUUCUGAAAAUCAAUUAAAGAACUGUUUAUGCUAAGUUGUUUAGACUUUAUCAGCUAUCUGUUUAGUUUUGAGCUUUUCUUUAAUGCACUUUUCAGUUAACAAGUCAACAUCAAUUUCUUUUGCUGUAAAAAAGCUUGAGGAAGGUGGCUUGAUGAUUCGUCUUAAGUGUUUAUAGCCUCUUGCCUAUGCAGUCGGAGAGAUUGAGGUCUGCAGCGUAGAUCCUUCGGGGCUAAGUGCAUUUGUGCUAAGUUAUAGCAUUUUAUAGACAACUUGUUGACUAUGAUUUGAUCUUGUAGCUUACUCGCUUAUGUUAUUUUACCUACGCUUAGGAUGUUGAGUCAUCACACAUCUCU